CCUCGUUCGAUUGGGCCAUAUAGCCACCAUUUUUUAACGCACAUUUAAUAAUCACAGUUCUCUUUUUUCGAUUGAGAUUUUGAAUGACAAAAAUGUCUCUUCUUUUAUAAAAAAAUUAUAACAUCCUAUACAUUUGUGAUGAUAUCUUGUAUUGAAAUUAUGACUUCUGCAUGGGAUGUCAUAAUUUUUUCAUAAGAUGUUAUAAA
rnacentral:lncRNA from 1 species